rnacentral:rRNA from 1 species
AGGACGAACGCUGGCGGCGUGCUUAACACAUGCAAGUCGAACGAGGUGCUUGCACCUAGUGGCGAACGGGUGAGUAACACGUGAGCAACCUGCCCUUGGCUCUGGGAUAGCCUCCGGAAACGGGGAUUAAUACCGGACAUGACCUUCUCCUGCAUGGGGGAGGGUGGAAAGUUUUUCGGCCAGGGAGGGCUCGCGGCCUAUCAGCUUGUUGGAGGGGUAACGGCCUACCAAGGCGACGACGGGUA